AGAGAGUUAUUGGUGUGUUGAAAUCAUGGUUGAAAUGCUGAAGCACUCUCUCAUCCGCAUGCCCAAUUACAACGUUCACAGUUGCGCGACCUCAUAGGUGCCGAAAC